AAGAAGAAAAACACCUUGAGCCUUAAAACCCGGCUGCUGGGAAAUACAUAUGCUGUUCCUAGAACAUUCACUGUGCCUUUGCCUGCGACCUCAGAAGGAAAGCCAAGGGCAAGGAAAGGAGACCAAAAUUUCUUGGGGAAGAUUUUUCAAGCAGCCCGUAAGUGCCCAAGCACAUUUGCCCCUGGUUGCCUGCCUGGGCCCCAUGUGGCCAGCAGAUGCUGGAGUCUGCCAGCUCAGACCUUCACCUGUACCUCCCUGAAUACCAGCGUUUAACCUUCAAGACGUUCCAUGUGCUGAAAUUAUUUAUUUUGUAAGGAGGAGUUUUCAUUUUUUUUUAAGAAAAAAAAAUCUCCUUCCUUUUUUUUUCUUUUUUCUUUUUUCUUUUUUCUUUCCUCUUUUUUUAACUUUUUUUUUUUUUAAUUUUCUGUCUUUAAGGUAGAUUGUUGGCGCCUUCCCCAAAGGGUAUGGUCAUCUGUUGUUAAAUUAUGUUCUUAACUGUAACCAUUUUUUUAAUUUAUCUCUUUAACCUUUUUUAUUAUUAAAAGCAAGUCUCUUUGAAUUCUUCAUUCUAGAUUUGUACAAAUGCUUUUUUUUUUUUUUUUUUUGUGCAUCCUUGUGGGUCCCCACCCCCCUUCUCUGUUGUUUUCGUUCUCGGUGAUAACAAACUGGAAACCUGUUUCUCUCUGUGGACAAAUGAGAGGUUUCAAAUGCAGUGAGCUAUCACUGAGUCCUUUUGCAGUGUUUUCCGCCACAGAUCUUUGGGCUGCCUGGACUGUAUGUGGAUGUGUGCGUGUGUUGUGAACAACGCAAGCUUCUGCAAGCGUGUGUCAUGGAUAGCCCCUUGCCUGCUCUCCUGCAGAGAGACAUCGGACAGACCUUAAUUCUUAUUUCACUGCUGUGGUUGGAGAGUGUACGGAUUGCUUUUUUUUUUUUAAAUGACAGCAGACUUUUUUUUUUAAUUUAAAAAAAGAUAUAUUAACAGUUUUAGAAGUCAGUAGAAUAAAACCUUAUAAUAUGGCAUCUUUCGAUUUCUGUAUAAAAACAGACCUUUUAAAAACUAUUUCUGUAACUUAAGAAACCUGACAUUUAUGUCAUUAUUUCUCUUUAGGUAAGGUUUGGUUUGUUUGUGUCUUGUUUGUUCGCCCCACCCCACCCUCCCGUCCAAAACUGUUUCUUCUUUGUGCACCCCGCCUUUCUUCCCUUCCUUCCUUUCUUUUUUUGUAUAUUAUUGUUUACAAUAAAUAUACAUUGCAUUAAAGUGAAAA
rnacentral:lncRNA from 1 species